rnacentral:rRNA from 1 species
GAUGAACGCUAGCUACAGGCUUAACACAUGCAAGUCGAGGGGAAACGACAUCGAAAGCUUGCUUUUGAUGGGCGUCGACCGGCGCACGGGUGAGUAACGCGUAUCCAACCUGCCCAUCACUUGGGAAUAACCUUGCGAAAGUAAGACUAAUACCCAAUGAUAUCCCACGAAGGCAUCGGAAUGGGAUUAAAGAUUUAUCGGUGAUGGAUGGGGAUGCGUCUGAUUAGCUUGUUGGCGGGGUAACGGCCCACCAAGGCAACGAUCAGUAGGGGUUCUGAGAGGAAGGUCCCCCACAUUGGAACUGAGACACGGUCCAAACUCCUACGGGAGGCAGCAGUGAGGAAUAUUGGUCAAUGGGCGAGAGCCUGAACCAGCCAAGUAGCGUGCAGGAUGACGGCCCUAUGGGUUGUAAACUGCUUUUAUAAGGGAAUAAAGUGGGUCUCGUGAGACUUUUUGCAUGUACCUUAUGAAUAAGAACCGGCUAAUUCCGUG